rnacentral:rRNA from 1 species
GUUACUUCGGUACAUCGGUGACAGGUGGUGCAUGGUUGUCGUCAGCUCGUGUCGUGAGAUGUUGGGUUUAAGUCCCGCAACGAGCGCAACCCCUAUUGUUAGUUUGCCAUCAUUCAGUUGGGCACUCUAGCGAGACUGCCGGUAAUAAACCGGAGGAAGUGGGGAUGACGUCAAAUCAUCAUGCCCCUUAUGACCUGGGCUACACACGUGCUACAAUGGUUGGUACAACGAGUUGCGAGUCGGUGACGGCGAGCUAAUCUCUUAAAGCCAAUCUCAGUUCGGAUUGUAGGCUGCAACUCGCCUACAUGAAGUCGGAAUCGCUAGUAAUCGCGGAUCAGCACGCCGCGGUGAAUACGGUUCCCGGGCCUU